rnacentral:rRNA from 1 species
UACGUAGGGUGCAAGCGUUGUCCGGAAUUAUUGGGCGUAAAGAGCUCGUAGGCGGUUUGUCGCGUCUGCUGUGAAAACUCAGGGCUUAACCCUGAGCCUGCAGUGGGUACGGGCAGACUAGAGUGUGGUAGGGGAGAUCGGAAUUCCUGGUGUAGCGGUGGAAUGCGCAGAUAUCAGGAGGAACACCGGUGGCGAAGGCGGGUCUCUGGGCAACAACUGACGCUGAGGAGCGAAAGCGUGGGGAGCGAACAGG